GCUUCCUGCGCGUGCGCGGUGGUGGUUUUCCACUGAGCCAGUUGGUUACGCAUGUGCAGUGGUGAUUUCCCACCAGAGCCGGUUGGUUACGCAUGCGCGGUGAUGGUCUCCCGCCUGAGCCGGUUAGAUACGCAUGCGCGAUGGUGGCGCGGAACCGGCCGGGACGGUGAGGAGUCGAGUUGGAAGAGAUGGCGGGGGGCGGAUCUUGGUCGGCGGCGGUGCUCCAGCUCCUGAAGAGGAUGAAUUCAUUCCACUCGCAGGGGUCCUCCAGGAGCUCCUGCAGACCCUUGUAUGUGGCAGGCCAGCAGGUCGGAAUGGUACAGCCCCGCGUCGCCGCUCACCUCGCCGACUACCCCGACGUCUUCCGGCUGUCCCCCGGCGAGCUGGGGCCGGUGGAGCUGUGCGCCGGGCUCUCCACCUACGAAGAGCGGUCCCGCGCCCUCCGCCGCGUCCUCGACCACUGGAGGCACCUGCAGCUCUUCGGCUGCCUCCGCGGGUGGAGAGACGAGAGUUACGAUGUGAUGCCCAGGUUCUGUGACCUACCUCUUCUGCAGCUGGAGCGGUCGGCAGCCAGUUUGUUUGGGAUAAAGACCUACGGUGUCCACGUGAACGGAUUCACCCGCCUGCCGGACGGAGGGAUGGCCAUGUGGGUGGGCAGACGGGCACACUCCAAGCCCACCUUCCCUGGAAUGCUGGACAACCUGGCAGCGGGCGGACUAGCGGCUGGCUUGGGUGUGAAGGAGACCCUGGUGAAGGAGUGCGCAGAGGAGGCAUCCAUCCCGGAGUGCGUCGCCCGCAGGGCCAGAGCGGUCGGCAGUGUCAGUUACACCUACGAAGAUGCGCGUGGCAUCUUUCCCGAGUGCCAGUUUGUCUACGACCUGGAGGUCCCUGCAGACUUGGUGCCGCAGGUGGAAGACGGAGAGAUGCUGGAAUUCUACCUCUGGCCUCUGGAGCAAGUGAGAGAGGCCAUUGUGGGCCCGGAGUUCAAACCCAAUUGUGCCCUGGUGGCCCUGGACUUCCUCAUUCGGCACGGAGUGGUUGAUGCUGAUGGAGAGCGAUACUACCAGCAGUUCAUCGAGGGUCUGCACCGGGAGCUGUGAGACACUACCUCCAUGUGAGAACUUGUCGCUGAAUCUCUCGAGCAUCGAGCCAUUGACUGACAGGAACCCCGGCUGCUGGUUCUCCCCUCUCCCCAUCCAAUUCUGGGAGCAGAACUAUGGUGGGGACUGACCGAGGGGGUCCACGAUUAAAGUGUUCUCCCUGCAUGUCGUUUCCUCUGGGAGAUUUGGAGUAAGGAUGUGCUGCAACCUCUUGAAGAUGUUGUGUCAACCUCAACACCACCACCACCACGUCGUGAAGAUUCAAACAUCUUUCAAGAUGAAAGACGUCAAUCCUGAUGACCAUCACUUACAGACAUGUUACUGUGCUUUGGAAGUGUCAAUAACCAACCUUCUGAUGCAAGUAAAUGCAGAUACCUUGUAAGAUAUUUUGCCUGCACCAUACUUCAAUAAAUAUCACUUGCUUUUCAUUUGUCGUUUCUUUUCUCUUUAUUAUCCA